rnacentral:rRNA from 1 species
UACGUAGGGGGCAAGCGUUGUCCGGAAUCAUUGGGCGUAAAGAGCGUGUAGGCGGCUCGAUAAGUCUGCUGUGAAAGUCCAGGGCUCAACCCCGAAGGCCGGUGGAAACUGUCGGGCUAGAGUCCGGAAGAGGCGAGUGGAAUUCCCGGUGUAGCGGUGAAAUGCGCAGAUAUCAGGAAGAACACCAAUGGCGAAGGCAGCUCUCUGGG